rnacentral:lncRNA from 1 species
GGGGCUGAGGGGCAUCAGGAUAGCCUUGUGCAGUUUAAAGCCUUUCUUCCUUGUCCUAUCACAAUCAGAUGGUAAAAAAGCCAGUCUCCCUCCUACUUAUGAGCUUCCUUUGGAACCUGCCAGUGGAAGGCUGCUAUGACAUCUCCUUGAAGCCUUUUCCAGACUGAACAAGCCUAGACCCCUCAGUCUGUCUUCACAAGAGAGCUUCUCAGCCCAUGGAAACUAGUGGGAAUACACCUAAGAAACCUACAGAAAAAAAGAUUAAAAGACUACAAAACCAGGAAACCUUGCAGAUGAACAGCCAAGCUUUGGCAUCAAUGUUCAAAAUUCAGGAAAUGAAGAUUGAGAAAGCAAAUGAAAAGGAGAAUAAAGCUAGUAAAGUGAUUAAAAUGAAGAUUUGUAUACACUAAUGACUACUUUCAUGUGGACAACAGGAGGAGAGUUAGGCAAAUGCUGACCACAGCAGGAUACCACAGAUGGCAACCAACAUACUGCAGAUAAAAUCUAACACCAGCCUAGUAUAUUUGAAUGGAUCACGUAGAGAGUCUCCACACAUCACUAGGGUUCUAUUACUGCAUUCUUCCCAAC